UGGGGAAUUUUGGACAAUGGGCGAAAGCCUGAUCCAGCAAUGCCGCGUGUGUGAAGAAGGCCUUCGGGUUGUAAAGCACUUUUGUCCGGAAAGAAAUCCUUGGCUCUAAUACAGUCGGGGGAUGACGGUACCGGAAGAAUAAGCACCGGCUAACUACGUGCCAGCAGCCGCGGUAAUACGUAGGGUGCAAGCGUUAAUCGGAAUUACUGGGCGUAAAGCGUGCGCAGGCGGUUUGCUAAGACCGAUGUGAAAUCCCCGGGCUCAACCUGGGAACUGCAUUGGUGACUGGCAGGCUAGAGUAUGGCAGAGGGGGGUAGAAUUCCACGUGUAGCAGUGAAAUGCGUAGAGAUGUGGAGGAAUACCGAUGGCGAAGGCAGCCCCCUGGGCCAAAUACUGACGCUCAUGCACGAAAAGCGUGGGGAGCAAAACAGGAUUAGAUACCCUGGUAGUCCACGCCCUAAAACGAUGUCAACUAGUUGUUGGGGAUUCAUUUCCUUAGUAACGUAGCUAACGCGUGAAGUUGACCGCCUGGGGAGUACGGUCGCAAGAUUAAAACUUAAAUGAAUUGACGGGGUCAUAGCUG
rnacentral:rRNA from 1 species